rnacentral:rRNA from 1 species
CCUACGGGAGGCAGCAGUGGGGAAUAUUGGGCAAUGGGCGCAAGCCUGACCCAGCAACGCCGCGUGAAGGAAGAAGGCUUUCGGGUUGUAAACUUCUUUUGUCAGGGACGAAGCAAGUGACGGUACCUGACGAAUAAGCCACGGCUAACUACGUGCCAGCAGCAGCGGUAAUACGUAGGUGGCAAGCGUUAUCCGGAUUUAUUGGGUGUAAAGGGCGUGUAGGCGGGAAUGCAAGUCAGAUGUGAAAACUAUGGGCUCAACCCAUAGCCUGCAUUGGAAACUGUAUUUCUUGAGGGCAGGAGAGGCAAUCGGAAGUCCGGGUGUAGCGGUGAAAUGCGUAGAUAUAAGGAGGAACACCAGUGGCGAAGGCGGAUUACUGGACAGUAACUGACGCUGAGGCGCGAAAGCGUGGGGAGCAAACAGGAUUAGAUACCCGAGUAGUC